UCAAUGUAAGAAUGUUGUGUUGACACAUUGACACCCCCUCGUGCUACGCUGUUACACUGGGAAAAAAAAGUAUCUUGGAUUUGGCCCAGACUCGUAACAAAUUUGAAAAGAAAAGAUAAUAUUGAUUCCAUCGGAUUUUGCUUGAAUCAAAAAAGAAAUCCGCUUGAAUUAAGAGAUCUGACUCUCGAUUCAAGCAAAAGUCCGAUGAAAUAAAGAGCAUUCUUUCUUGUCACAUUUUCUAAGAGCCUGGAUUUUGGAUCCAAGAGAUUUUUUUUCCAGUGAGAGAAGAAUAACACGCAUUCAUUAGGGAGUUCCAGUCUACGAUUUCCUGUUAUACAACGAUGGCCGAAGUGCAAAGGCACUAAUCUUCAUUGCGAUACUUCACUACGAAGAUGCAAGUUUGAUCUAAUAUGAAAAUUCCCUGACCAAUGGCACUGAAAUUCCCUGACUGUUCCCUGACUUCUUACAAAGAAAAAGUUUUGAUCCAAGAAGGAAAAAUAUUCCUCCGAAAAUCGAUUCUUUGAAAAAAUCGCAUGUUACAGAGACACCGAAAACAUCAGGAAUUUUCACUCUCACAAGUAGUGACGAUGAAAACAAGGCUGGGUGUACUCAGUUUUAUUUUAGUUCAUCGGCUUCAGAUGGAAUUCAACCGAUUCAUCAAGGGUUCAGAAACCCUUAGUGUUUUACAGACUUUAAAAGUUAACAGACCACUUUGCAGCGACUUUUUUACACCUUAUGCAACAGCCUUAACAGCUGAAGAUGUUCGCUCUGUUUUCAAAGUUCAAAGAAGUCCGGAUAACAGUCCUGAGUUUGAUUUACAAAACAGAACACUGAUGUACUUCCAGAACUAUUUGGAUUUAGUAGAAGAUGCUAUUGAGUGGUAUGUUGAAAAGAGAAUAAGCCAGCCUAUGGAAGAAUUUCGCAAGGGUUUGAAUAAACGGUUCAAUUUGAUGGAGCAGCUCAAAACCUGCGAUGUAGAGCAAGUGAAAUUAAUUUUCUACCGCAGCGGUACCGCUAAUGUGCUCGCAGCAGAAGAAAUGGAAGAUAUUUCCUUGUUUCACCGGAGGUUGCUCAAUCAAAACCGUACAAUUUUUGGCUUAAAUACCUCACAUAUUUGGAGUCCCAAGGUGCUGACGCCAAAGUACAAUUAAAACACAUGUCGCUCUAUGCUACAUCCGAAAGUGAAAUACCACCUCUAGGGUUUCCUGCUAAUAACAGGCCUCGCGUUAAAUUAGCACCAAGCGUAAUGCCUAAAGGGCGUUCUUGCUUCAACCCGCCCGGCAAAACGUGUGCAAAAACGUUGCAAAAACAUCGUGACAACGUCCUGUCCUUAAGUAACGUUGCUACAACCUUGUGACAACGUUUUUUCACACGUUUUGCCGGGCGGGAACACUCUUCAAAUUCCCACACUGUAAACGAAACCUACUUUGAUUUCCAGUGUAUGAUGGACAUCGCCAUACAAUAUGGCAACGAAUUUGGAGAAGCUUAAGCUGCUUUUCUGACACCUUUUAUCCUACUCCACUAGAAAUUCGAAAUUUAAAGCCGAAGUCUAUCAAUAUCAUUGAGAUAUCUAUCUAUUGAAAAACACUGUAGUUUCAUCUUAUUUUGAUUAUAGCUUGUGAAUUAAACAUUUUCAAUUACGACAGACAGAUAUAUGAAAUUGCCGUUUCUCUUUGUAUGGAGUUGGAUACUGUUACUUCCUCCUUAAAACUAGUUUUUAAGAAAAGUACAGAAAAUGCAAGUGUAUUAGGAGGAAAUGUCUAUGUUUGAUGCGUGUGAAGUUUUUAAAAAUUUGUCGAAAGUCCUUGAAAAACUUCCUUGGAAGUCCUUGAUUUUAUUCUUCGGAAGUCAUUGAAUUUCAUUUUUAAUAUCCGUCAUGAACCCUGGGAAUAUGAACUCUACUCAAAAUUUCAAUUGAAAACGGUAGCCUAAACCAGAUAUGAAAAACUAUUGAGGAGUAUUGGUAAUAUUGCGAUUUCACUGCUUCUUUUUACGAAAAAACUAUAAUCAUGACAGGUAGCUAAUUAAAAUGUAAAGUCUUCUUCUUUAGAGUGGCAGCAUUGGAAUUAAGAUAUUUCCAAAAGUCAUCAUCUUCCUCCUGGUCAUGAGACUUUUUUUUAUGUCAGAGUAUUGAAAUGUUUUUAAUUUUCAAGAUAGAUUAGUACAAUUCGUACACUGUACAACUGUAUGGAAGACCUUUAUUAAGAGACCUAUUCAUUUAAAAUUAUUUUUCACAAGAAAUGGGACUUUUUCCAAUUUAUUAUUCAUAAGUCAGGGAAGUAAUAGUAAUAGUUGAUGCUCCAUAUUGUGUAGUUAGUACUUAUGUUUUUUUCAUCUCAUUAAAAUACAAAAUUUAAAGAAGCACGAAAUUCGUUGUUUUAUGAAUCAGCAGUGAACUUCUUACUGCUGAUCCACAAAUUUUAACCACUAACUAACAGUUACUACUUCAUUACCUACCAAGUAUUCAUGACCUAAGACCUAUGCAUCAGUAAAAUGCUUGAGAAAAUCUCAUUUUUUAAAUUUCUGUAACGUAGAAUUAGUUACACUAAGUAUAGUUAAUUGCGUUGGUGUGAUUGAUCUACCACUUUGACUCCCUAAAAAAUGCUAAUCGACAGUGUAGGAACAGUUCCGCUCAAGAGACAUUUUUGCAAAAAGUUCUCAAAACUACACUUAAACCUUGACAAUUGAAAUUUUUAUCCCACAAAAAAACCCUUGGGAGGGUGCCAUUCGGACGGCAAUAAACUAAAGAACUUGACCGUCCCG
rnacentral:lncRNA from 1 species